rnacentral:rRNA from 1 species
AGUCGAACGAACUCUUCGGAGUUAGUGGCAGACGGGUGAGUAACGCGUGGGAACCUACCUUUAGGUACGGAACAACAGUUGGAAACGACUGCUAAUACCGUAUGAGCCCUAUGGGGGAAAGAUUUAUCGCCUAAGGAUGGGCCCGCGUUGGAUUAGCUAGUUGGUGGGGUAAAGGCCUACCAAGGCGACGAUCCAUAGCUGGUCUGAGAGGAUGAUCAGCCACACUGGGACUGAGACACGGCCCAGACUCCUACGGGAGGCAGCAGUGGGGAAUAUUGGACAAUGGGGGCAACCCUGAUCCAGCCAUGCCGCGUGAGUGAUGAAGGCCCUAGGGUUGUAAAGCUCUUUCAGCGAGGAGGAUAAUGACGUUACUCGCAGAAGAAGCCCCGGCUAACUUCGUGCCAGCAGCCGCGGUAAUACGAAGGGGGCUAGCGUUGUUCGGAAUCACUGGGCGUAAAGCGCACGUAGGCGGACUUUUAAGUCAGGGGUGAAAUCCCGGGGCUCAACCCCGGAACUGCCUUUGAUACUGGAAGUCUUGAGACCGAGAGAGGUGAGUGGAACUCCGAGUGUAGAGGUGAAAUUCGUAGAUAUUCGGAAGAACACCAGUGGCGAAGGCGGCUCACUGGCUCGGUACUGACGCUGAGGUGCGAAAGCGUGGGGGAGCAAACAGGAUUAGAUACCCUGGUAGUCCACGCCGUAAACGAUGGAAGCUAGCCGUCAGGUAGCAUGCUAUUUGGUGGCGCAGCUAACGCAUUAAGCUUCCCGCCUGGGGAGUACGGUCGCAAGAUUAAAACUCAAA